GAUGAACGCUGGCGGCGUGCCUAAUACAUGCAAGUCGAGCGAACGGACGAGAAGCUUGCUUCUCUGAUGUUAGCGGCGGACGGGUGAGUAACACGUGGAUCACCUACCUAUAAGACUGGGAUAACUUCGGGAAACCGGAGCUAAUCCCGGAUAAUAUUUUGAACCGCAUGGUUCAAAAGUGAAAGACGGUCUUGCUGUCACUUAUAGAUGGAUCCGCGCUGCAUUAGCUAGUUGGUAAGGUAACGGCUUACCAAGGCAACGAUGCAUAGCCGACCUGAGAGGGGGAUCGGCGACACGAGAGCUGAGACACGGUCAAGACUCCUACGGGAGGCAGCAGUAGGGAAUCUUCCGCAGUGGGCGAAAGCCUGACGGAGCGACGCCGCGUGAGUGAUGAAGGUCUUCGGAUCGUAAAACUCUGUUAUUAGGGAAGAACAUAUGUGUAAGUAACUGUGCACAUCUUGACGGUACCUAAUCAGAAAGCCACGGCUAACUACGUG
rnacentral:rRNA from 1 species